rnacentral:rRNA from 1 species
UCGAACGGUAACAGGAGAAAGCUUGCUUUCUUGCUGACGAGUGGCGGACGGGUGAGUAAUGCUUGGGAAUCUGGCUUAUGGAGGGGGAUAACUACUGGAAACGGUAGCUAAUACCGCAUAAGGUCUAAGGACAAAAGGGGGCGUAAGCUCUUGCCAUAAGAUGAGCCCAAGUGGGAUUAGGUAGUUGGUGAGGUAAUGGCUCACCAAGCCUGCGAUCUCUAGCUGGUCUGAGAGGAUGACCAGCCACACCGGGACUGAGACACGGCCCGGACUCCUACGGGAGGCAGCAGUGGGGAAUAUUGCGCAAUGGGGGGAACCCUGACGCAGCCAUGCCGCGUGAAUGAAGAAGGCCUUCGGGUUGUAAAGUUCUUUCGGUGAUGAGGAAGGUGAUAAGGUUAAUACCCUUAUUAAUUGACGUUAGUCACAGAA